rnacentral:misc_RNA from 1 species
UUUUUUAAUCUGAUUGUGAUAAUUGGAUAUGGGUAUCUUGCAUAUGUGAUGUGGCCUGAUAUUAAAGAGCAGAUAUAUAACAUGAGAAAUUCUGGGGUGGAGGGCUAUGCUGUUGUUAUUUCAACUUUAUUUGCAGUUAUUCUACUCGUUGUAAUGCUUUGUUUCUUUGAUUUGCUCAAACGAAUCAUGAAGUAGGAGCAGUCUUGUUUCUGCACUGUACCCUUUUCUAUGAAUUCUGUCAGACUGUGAUAACUAAUCUUGUUCCUCUUUUUUGGCUUGUUAUUAUGUGUGUGAAAUAAGAUUUACAAGACUGUCUUAAGACUAUUU